rnacentral:lncRNA from 1 species
AUAUGCAUCAUGAGGUCUCUUAGGGACCAAAAUUUGUUUCUAUAUGUUGUUAUUUAAGCGCAUUCUACUGAGUCGAUAGGAAGAUUUUAACCUUCACAUCUUCAGCUAGAAUGUCCUUAAAUAGGGGCAGCUGUAAGACCUCAAUUUUGACCCUAAGACCCCUCAUGCAAUUUCAUCAUAAGCAUUAGCAUUGGGAUCAUACCUUGGCAUCC